ACACAGGCCAGCAGAAAAGCAGCAGAAUGCUGAGAUCCCAGUGAUGGUGCUUCAUUUGGAUACAGUGAAUUCAGUCACCUCUGUCCUCCAAUGCUCUUUUUAGUAAACAUUGUCUGUUGGCAUUCAGAAUGAACUCCUCCAAAGAUUCUGAAACAGCAACGCUUUUGUCCCACACUUGAAACUACAGUCUCGAGUCUGAAGAAUACCAGUGCCUUGUUUGUCCUAGAAAGACUGUUUGUGCCUGCUUUUGCUGAUUGAAAAUAUCCAAUCUGAAAUUAAUUUCAGAGAGUGUUAAAACUUCUGAAGGAUAAAAAAACUGGUCCAGGGGCUCCAUUUACAUUCACUGAAGCUUGAGUCUUUUCGGUGGCACAGAAAGCAGAACUGCCUGCAACACCUUGCCAGGAGAAAAAGCACAGAUGAAAGGAGGAAUCACAGAACUAAGGAUUUUACAUUUCCAUUGCACUUUGAUGUUCAGCUCUUGCUGCCCUCCCUCCCUGAAGCAAGGUAACACCGCUGUGUGUGAAUACACCCUCUAAGUGCUUGAAUCUGCCUCCAGGCGUUCUCCUCCCAGUCUUCCUCGGUACAUUUGAAAGAUCAUCUGCCUUCCCAGCAUCUGUUCAUGAGUGAUGACGAUCAGUGCUAAAGGGAGAGCAAGGGCAUCCCAAUGGCAAUUCUAUCAACUGGAAAUCCUACAUGAGGCUUUCAAAACGGGCCAGCAAGAGGAAAUUAAUAAUGGGUUAGAAUAUAAUGAUCAAACAGAUCAAAGAAGUGCGAGAAAGCAACUCAGACAUCUUUUUAGAGGCAGAAAACCCUGCAGGAAAGGAAGUAUGAAGGCACAGAUACCUCAGCACAGCAUCUUGGCACUGCACUGUUACACGUUCCCUUGAGAUAGCACAGCUUAAAUAGUAUCACUAUGGCGAGAAAAAAGUAUUCCAGCAGGGAUAUUUGCUGAAUAAUACUGCAGUGUUUCCAUCCCCGACAUAUUAAAAACCCAGCAAAAGAUAAAUAAUAAGUCCUUAAACAAGAUUUUUAUUAAAUUAGAUAGCUUUUAUUCUUUGGAUUGUUCAGAUUUUAGUCUGCAUCUGGAUCAUGCUUCCCAGUUUUUUGUCUUAAUGAGGCACUAAAAAAAAAUUCAAUAUGAUUUUUUUUUGUGCUACAAGAAUAUCCUCAGGAGUAGAACUGUAAUUAAAAUAUCAAAGAUAAGGAGGUUUGCAAAUAAAGCCAGGUUUGAUAACAGAGAGGUGUGGCACUCCUCUGAAAUGUGUUGCCAGGCUUCAGCCAUCUGUCCUGGCUGUCACCGAAGGUUUUUGUCCUUGUAACACAAUGGGGCUAGUUGUUGUUGAAAAAAGACAUGUAGGCAGCUUGAAUAAUUAAUUUUUUCAAAACAGAAGCCACAUGAGGUUCAGUAAUGAGAAGAGGAAGAACACAGAGGAGAAGAAGUUUUGAACAGUGUGGCUACGGACACCUUUGUUUACAUCCCACGAGGAGCUAACCUCAAGGUGUGGAAUUUUCUUCUCCUUGGCAGAAAAGUCCUCCUGAGACUGUAAUCAGGGAGAAUAUUAUCUGAGAAGCUUUGUGGAACUGUUUGUCCUUCAAGGAGCAUUUGUGGGCAAUUACUGGGAAAAGUGUUAAACUGCUACCAGUGCUCUACUGACGUGGAAGGAGCCUGCUUGGAUGCUCUGCAGCUCCCAGGUCAGUUUAAUGGAAGAAAAACGAGGUCUAAAGAAUUUACGAGAAAAACUGAGGCACAGUGGAGAGAUAAUGAUGUUCCUUGACUACAUGCAUCACCCCAUGCUGUCAGCCAGACUGUGCUGAGAGGGACACCGAGGGAGUGCUUGGGGACAGCAGUGACAGACGGAGUCCCAAUUAUAUAAAUUUCUCGUCUUGGUGGAGUACCUGAGCAGGAACCCCUACUGCCUGCCUGAGAACAACUGCUAUUGCCCUACAGUAAUGUUAGUGCAUUUAAGCCAGUCACUGUGUUGUUGACAGAUAAUUCUGUUUUUCAAUUAAAAAAGCCAAUAUACAUAUAUAUGUUUGUAUAUAUAUAUAUAUAUGUAUGUCAUCCUUGCAUAUAGAAGAGUUCUAAGUUAUCUAGAACAUCCACAUCACUAAUGAGAGAGUUUUAUGGAGAAAGGAAGCUACUUUAUGUUACUACAUGUGUCUUGGCUCACUGGGAAAAUGCUACAAGAUUUAUGUGCUUACAAUUAUCAUUAGAUCCUAAUUUUUGGCAGGUUUAACUAGUACCUUCUCUUCCCAUUUAUUUUUAAGUGAGUUCUGAGUUCGUGAAUGUGCCAGUUUGAUAGCCCCAAAGACAGAGAGCGUCUGUUUGCCUAUAAAGGCAAUAUAUUUACAACAUUCACUUCCACAAACUGCUCCCGAAAGAGCGCUUCAGUGGCACACUCGAGGGGCUAACAAGAGGAUCAGUAAUGUAAAACCCCCGUCAUCUUGCCAAGAUUACUAAUGAGGCUGCAAUUUGCCAGUGAGAGGUUGCAACUGUAAUGGGUUUUGCAGUCUAUUCCUUUUACUAGGAGGGCAUUGGAACAACUCCUGCAGGCUUCUGAGUCACUUCCAGUCUUCCAAGUGUUCCCACAAAUUGUGUAACUUUCUUAGUGGUGUCCUCAAAUCGUUGUGUCACAACUCCAGAACUAAAUCCCUACUUAGAAAACUGCACGAAACCUUUUGAAAAUCAGACAGAUUAUUAACAUUCUGACAAUUUUGAAGACGGGACAACAAUUUUAAGAAACUCCGUUGUAUCCCCAAGACAUCCCUAGUUUUCUAAUAAUCAUUCAUCAGAAUUGUUUCAUUUAUUGUGUUAUUCAGAACCCCUGGGCAGAUCAGUGUUGGAAAACUGACAAGUAAAGGAUGACGCUUGUUCAGUAACUUGUAGUAAACCUAGUACAACUUCUGUUCAAAGUCCAAGAAAAGAGAAGUGAGAGCUGCAAGUGAUGCUGCUGCAGACUUUUGGAAGCUGCUCUGUCACAAGAUAAACAACAGAGCUGGCGCUGGCUCCUCCCGAUUGGAACAGGAGCACAUCCUGGAUCUGGAUGUCCCAGACUAGGCCCCUUGUGGCCUGGUGUUCCCAGAAUCAGCCUAGAGGAGCCCUGAAUAGGAGCCCCGGGCGAUGAAUGCAGUUUUGCUGGCGAUGAGCUCGGUGUGCUCCCCCAGCGCGAUUCCUGCAGUGCCCCAGGCGGCUC